rnacentral:rRNA from 1 species
GAUGAACGCUGGCGGCGUGCCUAAUACAUGCAAGUCGAGCGAACGGACGAGAAGCUUGCUCCUCUGACGUUAGCGGCGGACGGGUGAGUAACACGUGGAUAACCUACCUAUAAGACUGGGAUAACUUCGGGAAACCGGAGCUAAUACCGGAUAAUAUAUUGAACCGCAUGGUUCAAUAGUGAAAGACGGUCUUGCUGUCACUUAUAGAUGGAUCCGCGCUGCAUUAGCUAGUUGGUAAGGUAACGGCUUACCAAGGCAACGAUGCAUAGCCGACCUGAGAGGGUGAUCGGCCACACUGGAACUGAGACACGGUCCAGACUCCUACGGGAGGCAGCAGUAGGGAAUCUUCCGCAAUGGGCGAAAGCCUGACGGAGCAACGCCGCGUGAGUGAUGAAGGUCUUCGGAUCGUAAAACUCUGUUAUUAGGGAAGAACAUAUGUGUAAGUAACUGUGCACGUCUUGACGGUACCUAAUCAGAAAGCCACGGCUAACUACGUG